rnacentral:lncRNA from 1 species
UGUCAAAGGGAAACAACUCUAACAUAAAUCUUGUCAAUGAAAAACUAUAUAUACACAAUAAUUCAUUUUCAAAAAUGUUACAGUUAUCAGCAUAAAUAUGAUAACCUCCUGAAGUAACAGAAUUCUGUUUAUUUUCUGUUAAUUAAUAUUUGAUAAGAAAUCACAGAAGAAAUGCCCCAAAUCCAAACACUUGUAUGAGGGUCUAUUUGGUCCUUCAUUUUUGUAUUCUUUAAUGUUUAGGCCAUUUUUUAUAUUCUUUGUACUUUUUGCCAAUUUUUCUUUUUUCUUUACAUAUUAGCACCUCAUAAUUUCCUUUUAUAUUUUAGCACCUGAUUUUCUUCUAUUGUUUAUUUUUUUGGUCCUUUGUUCUCUGAUUCUUAAUAUUUUUUACCCAUUAUUCUCUAUUCUGUAAACCCCAAUCUACACCCUAUAGUAUAUUCUCGGAUGAUAAUUAUCAAUUAAGGAUUGCUGGUUCUAAAAACUUAAGUCAGAUAUCAAAUCUCACCCAUGUUUCAAUAGAACUUACACUAACAGUACUAAUUUUACUACUAUGCAUAUUUCGCCAAUAAAUAUUUCUUCAGUGCUGCCCUCUCAUCACCUUUUAAAAAUCAUGGAUCCACCCAUGGCAGUCUAUAAAUUUUUUAUUAUGUUAGUUUUAUAAAUGUACAACAAAAUAUAAACAGUUGAUAUGUAACAUUCAUUUCAUUAUGAAAUAGAAGCACUUAUUCAGGCCCAAUACCAAAGGAUAUACUAAAAAGAAGUACAUAUUUCAAACAAAAUAGUUCCUACACACAGC